rnacentral:rRNA from 1 species
UCGGUUAGAGACUGCGGAGGACAUUA